AAUCUGCUCCAUAGGUUGUAAGUAUCCCAAGCUAUUAUCUAUCAAUCCAACUAAACAGUGCAUCAGAAUUAAAUUUUAUUAAAAGCAUGAUUCUGUUCCAGAGUUACCAGUUUUUAGAAAUGUUUUACAGCACAAGCAUUACCACCACUCCUAAAUGAAUAUUUGGGUUAGCUUGCUGUUCAAGAGUGUUUUGAAAUUCUAUGACUCCAAGCCACUUUUAAAAAUUUUAAUAUUGCACUAUUUCAAACGUCAUGCAUAAUAUACAACUUUCAAAUAUUCAUAUUAUUUCAAAUUUGCAUAAUUUAUAUUCCCAUAAAAUGCAACAGCACUUGUACUCA
rnacentral:lncRNA from 1 species